rnacentral:misc_RNA from 1 species
GAUGAAGAACGCAGCGAAAUGCGAUACGUAGUGUGAAUUGCAGAAUUCAGUGAAUCAUCGAAUCUUUGAACGCACAUUGCACCUCUCGGUAUUCCGGGAGGUAUGCCUGUUCGAGCGUCAUUUGUACCCUCAAGCUCUGCUUGGUGUUGGGUGUUUGUUCCGCCUCUGUGUGUGAACUCGCCUCAAAACAAUUGGCAGCCGGCGUACUUGUUUCGGAGCGCAGCACAUUUUGCGAUCCAGAUCAACGUACAGCGGCAUCCAAGAAGCCUUAUUUAACGCUCUUGACCUCGGAUCAGGUAGGGAUACCCGCUGAACUUAAGCAUAUCAAUAAGCGGGGA